GAUGAACGCUGACAGAAUGCUUAACACAUGCAAGUCUACUUGAACUUCGGUUUGGGUGGCGGACGGGUGAGUAACGCGUAAAGAACUUGCCUCACAGUUAGGGACAACAUUUGGAAACGAAUGCUAAUACCUGAUAUUAUGAUUUUAGGGCAUCCUAGGAUUAUGAAAGCUAUAUGUGCUGUGAGAGAGCUUUGCGUCCCAUUAGCUAGUUGGAGAGGUAACGGCUCACCAAGGCGAUGAUGGGUAGCCGGCCUGAGAGGGUGAACGGCCACAAGGGGACUGGGACACGGCCCUUACUCCUACGGGAGGCAGGAGGGGGGAAUAUUGGAAAAUGGACCAAAAGUCUGAUCCAGCAAUUCUGUGUGCAAGAUGACGUUUUUCGGAAUGUAAAGUGCUUUCAGUUGGGAAGAAAAAAAUGACGGUACCAACAGAAGAAGUGACGGCUAAAUACGUG
rnacentral:rRNA from 1 species